rnacentral:tRNA from 1 species
GGAGAGGUGGCUGAGCGGACGAAAGCGGCCGACUCGAAAUCGGCUUCCCGAUUCCCCGGGACGCAGGUUCAAAUCCUGCCCUCUCCGCCA